GACAGAAGGUGCAAGCGUUACUCGGAAUUACUGGGCGUAAAGCGUCUGUAGGUGUCUUGUCACGUCUGAGGACAAAUCGCGGGGCUUCACUCCGCGCUCUUCUUGGAUACGAGCAGGAUCGAGUCAUUCAGAGGCAUCUGGAAUGUCGUGUGUAGGGGUAAAAUCCGUAGAUACACGAUGGAACGCCAAAAGCGAAAGCAGGAUGCUAGGAAUGUACUGACACUCAGAGACGAAAGCGUGGGGAGCAAAGGGG
rnacentral:rRNA from 1 species